CAGUCGCCGCGGGAAUACGGAGGGUGCAAGCGUUAAUCGGAAUUACUGGGCGUAAAGCGCACGCAGGCGGUCUGACAAGUCAGAUGUGAAAUCCCCGGGCUUAACCUGGGAACUGCAUUUGAAACUGUCAGGCUGGAGUCUUGUAGAGGGGGGUAGAAUUCCAGGUGUAGCGGUGAAAUGCGUAGAGAUCUGGAGGAAUACCGGUGGCGAAGGCGGCCCCCUGGACAAAGACUGACGCUCAGGUGCGAAAGCGUGGGGAGCAAACAGGAUUAGAUACCCGUGUAGUCCCUGUCUCUUAUAC
rnacentral:rRNA from 1 species